CAGUCCUGCACCUCCGCAUCUCCUCCACCGCGCUGAUGCCGCCCACCUCUCCCCCAAACAGACAGCGUUGUCUUCUCCCCGAAGACGAUGCCGGCGCCCUCCACCGCGGCCGACGACGACGCGCUCCACCGCGGUCCGCUGUCGUCGCCCUCCCCCGCGGCUGCCGCUGCCCUCGCCCUCGCACUCCACCACGGACGCCGCAUCCGUCGCAGCGGCCGCCAUCCUGCCUACCGGGCUUGUGGAUCACUAGAUGCGUGGCAUCACUGACCAGACAAACCGGAGUUGCGGAGCACCAGAUGUGGGCGGGCACGGCUUCACGGGCGACGGCGUCACAAUGCAGUCAAGCUUUCUCCUCUCUCCUCGCCCCGAUUUGUCAGCAUGGGCACCAAACAACAGAGUUGCAACCUGUAGUUCCCGCCCUGCUCCUAGCGACCCGCCUCCCCGUGUUUAUCCGAAUCACAAAUAAGGUAGAUCCUCUCAUCACCGUCUUCGUUGAUUCGUAGUCACAUCAGCUGUCAGCCAAUCCAUGUGAACUGAGCCUUGGCUAAUAUUCCACAUGCUACACACAUUCUGAUUUGAAGCCCAAACAUGAAGAAGAUUAAUUUUAACUGUGCUGUAUGAUGUAUGCCGGACAUAUUAGCAAAAUUACUUUUUUUUUCUCAUGAAUCGUUAGUUUGCCACAAAUCCAUAAUAUAUGCAAGGCUAUUUUCUAGAAUUUGUUUGAUCUUUUUCCCCCUUAAAAUUUGUAGUUUGGCAUAAAUCCAUAUAUUGCAUGAUAUCGAGACUGUGAUUGUAAGAGAUGCAAAGCUAUUUAGGCGGUGCUAUGCCACCAUUUAUGUUGCCUUUAUUUUACGCUGAGGUUAUACUAUGAUUCUGUUUCCUGUUCAUGUAGUUCAAUUCAGAGUUUUAUUUCCCCCUUUCAUAAUGAAGGCAUUUCUUUACUGCUCUCAAGAACGUCCAUAUAAAAUGUAAUUUGUAUGCAUUUUUGUUUCAAAAUGUUAAAAGGUUUCAAUAAUGGUUUCUCGGUAACAGUCUUUAUGCACCAAUGACUUUUUUGUAAAUAAGAGUGGAAUUAACCAUGAACUUCAGUCUUCUAAAUGGAGGGUUGAGUAGUUAGUUUUUUGUGUUUCUUUUCCUCUUUGAAAAUUAGGUAGGAGUAUUUAAUCAUUUACCUGGAAUAGAUGGUGGUUUGAGUAUUUAGCUUUUGGUUGUUUUUAGUUUCCAGCUUAUCCUCUUUUAUCUUUAAAAAUAGGCAGUUUUUUCUGUCUUGGUGCCACCUUCUCUGGGCAUACUGCAAUGUAAAAUCUACUGAUACUUAUUUUCCAGAUGGUGCUUCGAUUCUGAUUAGCAAAUAAGGUGUUUCAUGAGUAUGUGUGCGAUGAUAAAAAUUGUCAUGUCCUUUAAUUUGGUCGGUGUCAACUAUUUCUAUUGUAUUGCUAUAACAGUUGCCUGCUUUUUUUGUUGGGGACAAGCAUGCUGACCCGCUGCCGAUGCGAAGCGGAAGCGAGGACAGUUCCUUUAAUUUCUGGUUGUUUUAUACUCACUAUGUAAUGUUUGUUUUUUCUGCUAUUUUAUGUAUAAUCUAGAGAUCAUGUAUGCCUCUUUGAUGGAUUUAAGUUAAGUCACCUGCUGGAGCAGCUUGAGGCUAGGCUGAUGAUACAGAAAACGAAGCAAACAAAUUUCAUCGAAUCAAGAACUAUCUUCAUGCCAAGUUAUCAGAGCAGUAAAGAAAUGCCAUUGAGAUGGGGCUAACAAUUUGGUACCAAUUGAAAUUACUCUGAAGUUUGCAAACAAGAUUAAGGCGAAUGAGAGUUUUUCUGCAUACAUAGUACUUCCUGUGUUGCCCGAGGAUAAGCCAACUGGUGCUCCUACACAAAGAAUUCUUUACUCGCAGGUUCGAUUGAGCAUCUCUGUUUGUGCCUAAUUUUCCCCGAUAGAGCACACCCAAUUUUUCACUUAUAUUGUAGAACAAAACAACACAAAUGAUCAAGACAAUAUAUAGGGCCUUGUUAGGUCUUUAUGAUAUAUAUGAGCCUCAUGAUUAUUUGAACUUUAUUUGUCUUGGCAAUAAUGAUGUUGAUGACAGCCCUAGCACAACCUGGUGCAAAUCUCGAUAUACAUGUAUUAUUGGAUCGAAGGGCAUCUCCAAAUAAAUGCUCAGUGUACAAAUAGAAAGCAAACUGAUAUGGUUGUGUACAUGUGUUCCAUACCCGAGACCACUACUUGUGAUAUUGCUGCAACAACUGUCAUUUUGUGUACCAAAAUUUCUGCUGAGCCUCAAUUGUAGAGGAUUUAUUGGUUCAUGAUUCAUCAUGUUCAGGUAAUGGAUGGACUCACAGUCCAUCGUUGUUGGUGUCAAAUAUGUAGCAUAUAUUUCACAUUACCUGAUCGUCAUUACCUCGGGGACAGUAAAUUGCUGUUGUUAUGUUCACAUGUCGAUUGUAUUAUUUGUUUUCCUCUCACGGUGCAACGAGUACUUAGAAUAUGUACAUGUACAUAAGAGUAAUGCCUUGUUAUCCGAUACAAUGACUACUCCGUA